AUUGAACGCUGGCGGCAUGCCUUACACAUGCAAGUCGAACGGUAACAGGUCUUCGGAUGCUGACGAGUGGCGAACGGGUGAGUAAUACAUCGGAACGUGCCCGAUCGUGGGGGAUAACGAAGCGAAAGCUUUGCUAAUACCGCAUAAGAUCUACGGAUGAAAGCAGGGGACCGCAAGGCCUUGCGCGAACGGAGCGGCCGAUGGCAGAUUAGGUAGUUGGUGGGAUAAAAGCUUACCAAGCCGACGAUCUGUAGCUGGUCUGAGAGGACGACCAGCCACACUGGGACUGGGACACGGCCCAGACUCCUACGGGAGGCAGCAGUGGGGAAUUUUGGACAAUGGGCGAAAGCCUGAUCCAGCCAUGCCGCGUGCAGGAUGAAGGCCUUCGGGUUGUAAACUGCUUUUGUACGGAACGAAAAGACUCUGGUUAAUACCUGGGGUCCAUGACGGUACCGUAAGAAUAAGCACCGGCUAACUACGUG
rnacentral:rRNA from 1 species